GACAGGAUGAAUUUUUCGGUCCCAGACUGAACAUUAUGAAGGAAGCAAAGCAUUCACCUGACU
rnacentral:snoRNA from 1 species